rnacentral:rRNA from 1 species
UACGAGGGCUUCAAGCGUUAUCCGGAAUCAUUGGGCGUAAAGGGUGUGUAGGUGGUUGUGUUAGUCUUGCGUAAAAUGCUCCGGCUCAACCGGAGUUCCGCGCGGGAAACGGCACGACUAGAGGACGGUAGAGGUUUCUGGAACUCAUAGUGUAGCGGUGAAAUGCGUUGAUAUUAUGGGGAACACCAAAGGCGAAGGCAAGAAACUGGGCCGCUACUGACACUGAAACACGAAAGCGUGGGUCGCGAAUGGG